rnacentral:rRNA from 1 species
AGCGAACGCUGGCGGCAGGCUUAACACAUGCAAGUCGAACGGGCACUUCGGUGCUAGUGGCAGACGGGUGAGUAACGCGUGGGAACGUGCCUUUCGGAUCGGAAUAAUCCAGGGAAACUUGGACUAAUACCGGAUACGCCCUUCGGGGGAAAGAUUUAUCGCCGAAAGAUCGGCCCGCGUCUGAUUAGCUAGUUGGUGAGGUAAAGGCUCACCAAGGCGACGAUCAGUAGCUGGUCUGAGAGGAUGAUCAGCCACACUGGGACUGAGACACGGCCCAGACUCCUACGGGAGGCAGCAGUGGGGAAUAUUGGACAAUGGGCGAAAGCCUGAUCCAGCCAUGCCGCGUGAGUGAUGAAGGCCUUAGGGUUGUAAAGCUCUUUUGUCCGGGAAGAUAAUGACUGUACCGGAAGAAUAAGCCCCGGCUAACUUCGUGCCAGCCGCCGCCGUAAUAC